rnacentral:lncRNA from 1 species
GGCUCUGAAACUAUUUGCGCGUGGAGAAGAAGGAAGAUGAUGACACUAUUCCUGUGUCUUUUAUUUUUUUAACCUAAGCAGGGGAAUAGACCGCAAUUCACCACUUAACCGAGGCCUAUUCUCUUGAAAAAAAAAAUCAAAAUGCAUCUGAAAUGGCAUUUUUGAAUUUUUUUUCAAACUUUAUGCCGCGAUUCACAACCAAAC